GCAAGUCGAGCGGAUGACGGGAGCUUGCUCCUUGAUUCAGCGGCGGACGGGUGAGUAAUGCCUAGGAAUCUGCCUGGUAGUGGGGGACAACGUUUCGAAAGGAACGCUAAUACCGCAUACGUCCUACGGGAGAAAGCAGGGGACCUUCGGGCCUUGCGCUAUCAGAUGAGCCUAGGUCGGAUUAGCUAGUUGGUGGGGUAAUGGCUCACCAAGGCGACGAUCCGUAACUGGUCUGAGAGGAUGAUCAGUCACACUGGAACUGAGACACGGUCCAGACUCCUACGGGAGGCAGCAGUGGGGAAUAUUGGACAAUGGGCGAAAGCCUGAUCCAGCCAUGCCGCGUGUGUGAAGAAGGUCUUCGGAUUGUAAAGCACUUUAAGUUGGGAGGAAGGGCAGUAAGUUAAUACCUUGCUGUUUUGACGUUACCGACAGAAUAAGCACCGGCUAACUCUGUGCCAGCAGCCGCGGUAAUACAGAGGGUGCAAGCGUUAAUCGGAAUUACUGGGCGUAAAGCGCGCGUAGGUGGUUUGUUAAGUUGGAUGUGAAAGCCCCGGGCUCAACCUGGGAACUGCAUCCAAAACUGGCAAGCUAGAGUACGGUAGAGGGUGGUGGAAUUUCCUGUGUAGCGGUGAAAUGC
rnacentral:rRNA from 1 species